rnacentral:rRNA from 1 species
AUGAUGAUGGGAUGGAAUGAAGCCGCACCUACUCCGGCGGUGCGGUGGAUGGCCGUGUGGCCCGUCUCGAUCGGGAGCGGAGCAGCGACGUGCGGCGCUCGGUCGGCAGAUCUAUACUUUGUGUGUGGGCGCGUGGCUGGCUGGCCUUGUGUUGUGUGGGCGGAAAACGGCGGUGUGCGCACUGCCGGAGCGGAGUGGAGUGGCACGGCAGUUUUCUGGUGGUGCGUCCGUACCACCGGUCUGUGCUUUGCUUUCCCGUGCCCCGCGGUUAGCAGAGAGAUUUGCUUUUCUAAUCUCUUACAAUGGUGGCGCUGCCUCGUCGUCUGCGCCAGGUGGCAUCUGGUCGUGGUGUCGUGCGAAGAGAUUUGUUCUGAGGCAGAAGGCGCUGCAGCACCGGAGACGCGGGCAAGGAGGACCCUCCGCGCGCGUCUUCGCCGUGUGGUUCGCGCGGAGGAGCAGAAUCGCCUUCCUGUUUGGCGGAGGGCAGAAUCACAGCAGAAAAUAGAUGGCUGGGACAAGUCAUAA